CAAAAUCUUUGGCCCUGUGGACAAAAGGGGCUACAUGCUGACCUGUCAGCUCAGGGAAGGCAUGCAUGGCAGUCUUGCAAACUCAGAGACCUAAAGUAAUUACAAAGGAUGGUCUAAAAUUAAACUUUAACUAAAAACAGUUAUGGUGGGU